rnacentral:lncRNA from 1 species
GAAUGUCAUGACAAAUCCGACAUGUAUUAAAUUCAACUUCAAGUCUGAACAUACGUAUUAAUUGGAUGCUAUUUAUGUUGAUGCCGAAAAACGACCUCAACAGCUGAAUUUGUUUCUUUAGGGGAAUUACAGCACGAAUCCAAGCUCAAACGCCAAUAUGACCGCAAUUUUCCGUACCUGUCAACCAGAAAACACGGUUAGGAUACGCCGGUGGGUUUCCGGCGCAGACCCUCCGAUGCUUAAGUCAGAAAUUGUGUAUAAAGAGAUAAAAAUGAGAGGGAAGAAUUGUGAAUGGGUUCAAAAGAAAGGAAUUUUCCGAUCAAAGAACUCAAAAUCUGGUAAGCUCUGUUAAGGCUCUUAGAUAGGUCACUUCUAGAGUUUUUUGGUUGAUUUUUGCUAACCCCCACCUCAGUUGCCAUUUUCAGCUUAAAUAGGCCCCUGGUCAUGGGUGGUUACCACCUUUAACUUCUGUCCACUUUCUUCAGCAGUUGCACGUGGUCAUCGGUUGGAGAUAGUUUAAAUAGAUCGUGGCACACAACUUUCCUAGAAAUUAGGCCACGUUAUCUUAACCAAUAGCUUUCUAUGUCAAGCUAAUUCUCUGGUCGGGCAAAUAAAUUUCGAGGUCGGACCGGUGAAUUUCCUGGUCGCUCAUAUAGGUCUAAGGUUGUAUUCUUAAAUCAGGUUAUUCACAUAAAUCUCAGGCCGUACUUGUGAACCAGGUCGCCAACAUAGGCUCCAGGUUGUACUUACGUGGUCAGCUCGACAACAACAAUGAGUUCUAAGUAAAUUAGGGUCGACUAUACUUCUGAAGUUUUUUUAGAAAAAUCUAACCUGAACACCAGUCCCCUAGUUUUCGAUAUUGGAAAGUCAUUACCGGUAUUGGAAACUAAUCAGUGAAAAUAGAAAAAAUUGUGUAAACCAAAGUAUAGUCGACACUUGUGCUUUGUGAGCUUUACGUUUGCGGUCUACAAUUGUGCUUUGUGAGCUCUACCUUUGAAGUCGACACUUGUUGCUUUGAAAGUUCUACGUUUGAUGUUGUUUAUUAAGGUCGACAUUUUAGUUUCGUAAAGCCUACGGUUGAGGUCGACAUUUUAGUUUUGAAAAGCCCACGGUUAAGGUCGACCCUUGUUGCUUUGUGAGCUCUACGUUUGAGGUUGUUUAUUAAGGUCGACAUUUUAGUUUCGUAAAGCCUACGGUUGAGGUCGACAUUUUAGUUUUGAAAAGCCCACGGUUAAGGUCGACCCUUGUUGCUUUGUGAGCUCUACGUUUGAGGUUGUUUAUUAAGGUCGACAUUUUAGUUUCGUAAAACCCUACGGUUGAGGUUGACAUUUUAGUUUUGAAAAGCCCACGGUUGAGGUCGACACUUGCUUUGUGAGCUCUACCUUUGAAGUCGACACUUGUUGCUUUGAAAGUUCUACGUUUGAGGUUGUUUAUUAAGGCCGACAGUUUAGUUUUGUGAGGUCUACGAUUGAGGUUGACACUUCAGAUUUGUACGGCCUAUGGUUGAGGUCGACAUUUUAGCUUGGUAAGAUCUAUGCGCGAGGUUGACACUUCGUAAGAAUCUAUAGCGAGGUCAGCUUCGAGCUUCCUAAGGUCAACUUUCCAGCUUAGUUACAAUCGGCAGUAGCCUAAACAUCUUCAGACUUGUCGCGGUCGGCAUUAGCUUUAUUAAAAAUAAGCGUGCAAGCUAUGUAAUAAUUAUCUGAAGUACAAACACAAAAUGAAAGCGCAACAAGAGUUAUACGUUCGUAAAACUACCAAAAGGCAAGCCUUAUAGCAACUUUUCAAAUCUACUUAGAAAGCACUCUCCUCGUCUUCAGCAACUCUGCUUGUUAAAGAUGCCUCACCCUCAACUCUAAUCUCAUCACCCUGAAGAACUCGAUUAGCUUCUUGAUCCGUACCCAAUGACUUCCUCUUAGCCUUUUCUUUGCUCACAUAAGCGGUCAACAUCCAUUGAAAGUCCAUGUCUGGGUGUU